UACGUAGGUGGCAAGCGUUGUCCGGAAUUAUUGGGCGUAAAGCGCGCGCAGGCGGCUUCUUAAGUCCAUCUUAAAAGUGCGGGGCUUAACCCCGUGAUGGGAUGGAAACUGGGAGGCUGGAGUAUCGGAGAGGAAAGUGGAAUUCCUAGUGUAGCGGUGAAAUGCGUAGAGAUUAGGAAGAACACCAGUGGCGAAGGCGACUUUCUGGACGACAACUGACGCUGAGGCGCGAAAGCGUGGGGAGCAAACAGG
rnacentral:rRNA from 1 species